rnacentral:rRNA from 1 species
GGUUGACCUCGGAUCAGGGAGG